AGAAGAUCUAUCGAUCAGGCGACCCCAGUUUCGGCUAUUUUUCUACAGAGAUAGCGAAGGUCAGACCCAGCCAGCGAAUCGGCUUGAGAGGCAGUUUUGACUUGGAAUCGCCGGUCAGGCUUGUUGACAUCACCUUCCACUUUUAAUUGUCUUGCUCUGUUUCCUGGAAGGUUCAUGGCGGUGUUAAGAUAAGGUUAUCACUAGAGGAAAAGGGUUUUAGGGUUACUCGUUCUUGCAAAAUCCCUUUUUAUAGAGAGCAAUUCUGCUUCUCUUUGAAGGGUCGGCCUCACUUCGCUCUGCUACUAUCAUCUCCCUUCGUGCAAGGGAGUUUUGAGUUGCAGAUGGUCAUGGACCCACGGUUCAAUGAAUUCUCUGAUUCUAUAAAUGGCUUCAAAUUUGAUGAUGAUGCCUUUUUCCCCACAUCUGAUCCAUCUGAAGAUCUUGCAAAUAAGUUCAGUUUUAAAGAUGAGACUGUAGAUUUCAAUUUCAUGGACAGUCCUUUCCUUCUCACGGAUCCCAGCCAUGGCUUCGUUGCUCAGACUUCGAGUGCAACUGCAGAAGUUGAGUCUCCGGAUGAUAGUGACUUUAACGAUAAUGUUCUCAAAUACAUAAACUCGAUACUCAUGGAAGAGAACAUGGAGCAGAAGCCCAGUAUGUUCCAUGAUCCUUUGGCCCUACAGGCUGCUGAGAAAUCCUUGUACGAUGUUAUUGGCGAGAAGUACCCUUCUUCCGCAAAUCAAUCCCCAAUUUACGUCAAUCAUCUUGUUGACAGCCCGGAUAAUUUAUUUGGGAGUUCAAGUGAGCAGAGCACUAGCAACACUAGUGGUAGUAACUCCAUUGACUCUCAAUGGAUUGUUGAUCUUGGAGAGCACAAACCAUCCGCAGAAAGUGAUCCAUUCAGAUACCCUUUGGAGACUACUUUGCAAACUACCUCACAGUGGUCAUUUGAGCCUAUGAAGAGUUUUAAUAAUAAUGUUAAUGACCCACUGGGAUCUUCUAUGAGUGGCCACCUGUUUCCAAAUAUCUUCAGUGAUACCCAUUCCAUCUUGCAGUUUAAGAGAGGGGUGGAGGAAGCCAGCAAGUUCCUACCUAAAAAUGAUCAAUUGGUUAUUGAUUUGAAGAGCUAUCCGUUGCCCCCAGCGUCAAACGAUGGGGCUCAAGAGGUUGUAGUCAAGGUGGAGAAGGGCGUUAGGGAAAACUCACCAAAUGGCACAAGGGGUAAGAAGAAUCAUCGGGAAGACACUGAUCUAGAAGAGCAGAGGAGUAGCAAGCAGUCUGCAGUUUAUGCCGAUGAGCCUGAAUUAUCUGAGAUGUUUGACAGGGUUUUGCUAUUUACUGAUGUGAAAGGGGAGCCUGCAUGCUGUGAUGUUGAUAAAGAAGUGCAGAGUGGGGGAAGUGAAGGGUCCCAACACAAUGGACAGCCAGAUGGAUCUAGUGAUGGAAAGACCCGUGCUAAGAAACGGGGCAGUAAAAAUGAAGCGGUGGAUUUGAGGACACUCCUGAUUACCUGUGCACAUUCCGUUGCUUCUGAUGACCGCAGGACUGCGUAUCAACAAUUAAGUCAGAUUAGGCAGCACUGUUCUCCUUUAGGCGAUGGGUCUGAGAGGGUUGCAAAAAUCUUUGCUGAUGGUCUAGAGGCACGGUUAGCAGGAACUGGAAGCCAGAUAUACAGAGCCCUAGCUGCCAAAAAAAUUUCAGCUGCUGAAAAGUUGAAAGCUUACCAGCUUUAUCUUUCAGCCUGCCCAUUCAAGAUGGUAGCAAUACUCUUCUCAAACAAAAUGAUAGUUGAUGUAGCCAUGAAAUCUUCCAAAAAGAAGCUUCAUAUUAUUGAUUUUGGUAUCCUCUAUGGUUUCCAGUGGCCCAUCCUUAUCAAAAUUCUCUCAAACCUACCUGGUGGGCCCCCUGAACUUCGGAUUACUGGGAUAGAGCUUCCACGACCUGGUUUCCGUCCUGCAGAAUUUGUUGAAGAGACAGGGCAUCGAUUGGCCAAUUAUUGUGAGCGCUUUAAUGUUAAAUUUCGUUACCAUGCCAUAGCGCAAAAGUGGGAAACAAUCAAAAUUAAGGACCUCAAUAUAUGCAGCGAUGAAGUGCUUGCAGUGAAUACUCUCUUCCGGUUCACCAACCUACAUGACGAGACUGUUGCGGUGGAUAGUCCAAGGGAUGCUGUUCUGAAGUUAAUUAGGAAGAUGAAUCCAGAUAUUUUCGUCCAGUCCGUUUCUAAUGGAUCCUAUAACUCCCCCUUCUUUGUAACUCGGUUUCGUGAAGCACUAUUCCAUUACUCUUCAUUGUUUGAUAUGUUUGAGACUAAGAUAUGCCGCGAAGAUCAGGGGAGGAUGAAUUUUGAGAAAGAAUUUUAUGGCCGCGAGGUUAUGAACAUAAUUGCAUGUGAAGGUUCUGAAAGGGUUGAGAGGCCCGAGACUUAUAAACAAUGGCAGGUCCGCACCAUGAGAGCUGGUUUCAGGAUAUUUCCUCUGAAGAAGGAACUAGUAAACAAAUUGAAGGAUAAGGUGAAGAUUGGAUACCCCAAAGACUUUGUGUUCGAUGAAGAUGGCCAAUGGCUGCUGCAGGGAUGGAAGGGCCGGAUUUUAUGUGCUACCUCUUGUUGGGCACCUGAUUCUAAUCUUUAAGGCAUGCUUCUUCCAACUCUGAAAGGAAGAGUAGGCUUCUCUUCCCGUGCUAGCUGACUGGCUAGAAUGUUCGAAGUUACAGAGGUACUGCUUUCUGAACUUUUCACAAUUGUGUCUCUAUUCUCUCUCUCUCACACGGAUACAAAAUCCAAAUCCUCGCAUAUCUACAAAUGUCUAUGUGCUUGUGGGCAUGCAUUUAUAUGGAAAUCUAUCUCCCUCGACUUCCAUGUAGGAACUCAUUGUUUCCCUCUGUCCCCCUCUCACACGCGCGACCAUACCUUUCUAAGGUUUUAUAACAUCUCCAGUGUGACUCUCUUACAGACGAUGCUUCCUGUUACGAGGAUAUGCAGUAAUAAUAUAUAGCAGCUCUGGUAAGCUCCAUUACCGGCUCAAUGCUUCCUGGUCCUGGUUUUGAAGGAAGGAAUGAGACAUGGUUCAGACUUCAGAUCUAUGGAUCUGAAAAUGGCAUGGCUGAGGGUUCGUCUCUUUCACAGAGACCCUGUUUUGGGGAACACGCUAUUGUUACAAUAUCAAUUAUAGGAAGCUGUUUUGGGGCUUGUUAACCAAUCAUAAUUUUCCUUUUAUUUUCCUUGAUGGUGCUGGAGAUUAACUAGGAGAAUUGGGUACUUGUGCUUCGUGCUUGUAAAUUUAAAACAAGCUAGUAGUUGCGUGUUUGUUUGAUCAGAUAUGUACAAAUGGAAUUCUCUCACUUUGUUCCCUUCCCUAUAUCCCGCUCAUAUAUGUUUCAGUAUUCAUUAUUUUGUUCCA